GCUGGGUUGGCCGAAUGGCAAGGCGCCAGCCUCGAAAGCUGGUGGGUAAAACCCAUGCAGGUUCGAAUCCUGCACCCAGCG
rnacentral:tRNA from 1 species